GACGAACGCUGGCGGCGUGCCUAACACAUGCAAGUCGAGCGCUGAAGGUUGGUUCUUGUACCGACUGGAUGUGCAGCGAACGGGUGAGUCACGCGUGUGGCAUCUGCCUUUGAGCGGGGUACAACAUGUGGACACGAAUUCUAAUACCACAUAAAAACUUUAAACACAAGGUUUAAGUGUAAAAUUCGCAGUUUCAGCAUUCAAACACGGCCCCGCGGUUUGUUAGUUAGUUGGUGAGGUAACAAGGCACCAAGGCGUGGAUACAUAGACGACCUGAGAGGGUGGGAGGCCACAUUGGGACGGAGAAACGGCCCAAAAUCCUACGGGAGGCAGCAGGAGGGAAUCUUAGGCAAUGGACGAAAGUCUGACCGAGCAACGCCGCGUGAGUGAAGAAGGUUUUCGGAUCGUAAAACUCUGUUGGUAGAGAAGAACGUUGGUGAGAGUGGAAAGCUCAUCAAGUGACGGUAACUACCCAGAAAGGGACGGCUAACUACGUG
rnacentral:rRNA from 1 species